UUGCUCUUCAACGAGGAAUCCCUAGUAAGCGCAAGUCAUCAGCUUGCGUUGAUUACGUCCCUGCCCUUUGUACACACCGCCCGUCGCUACUACCGAUUGAAUGGCUCAGUGAGGCGUCCGGACUGGCCCAGGGAGGUGGGCAACUACCACCCAGGGCCGGAAAGCUCUCCAAACUCGGUCAUUUAGAGGAAGUAAAAGUCGUAACAAGGUCUCCGUUGGUGAACCAGCGGAGGGAUCAUUACCGAGUUUUCAACUCCCAAACCCUAUGUGAACUUACCACACCGUUGCUUCGGCGCGCGGCUCGCCGUCGCCGAGGACGUUAAACUCUGUCUUGUAUAAGCAUUUCUGAGUGGCCGAAAGGCAAAAAACAAAUGAAUCAAAACUUUCAACAACGGAUCUCUUGGUUCUGGCAUCGAUGAAGAACGCAGCGAAAUGCGAUAAGUAAUGUGAAUUGCAGAAUCCAGUGAAUCAUCGAAUCUUUGAACGCACAUUGCGCCCGCCAGCAUUCUGGCGGGCAUGCCUGUUCGAGCGUCAUUACAACCCUCGAGCCCGACUUCCUUGCGGAGGACGGCUCGGCGUUGGGGGACGGCACACUCCCCCCGGCUCGCCGGGGACGCCGCCCCCGAAAUUCAGUGGCGGCCCUCGGAGGCGACCUCUGCGUAGUAACUCAACCUCGCAAAGGGAAGCUCCGAGCGGCCACGCCGUGAAACCCCAACUAUAUCAAGGUUGACCUCGAAUCAGGUAGGACUACCCGCUGAACUUAAGCAUAUCAAUAAGCGGAGGA
rnacentral:rRNA from 1 species